UACGUAGGGUCCGAGCGUUGUCCGGAAUUACUGGGCGUAAAGAGCUCGUAGGUGGUUUGUCGCGUUGUCCGUGAAAACUCACAGCUCAACUGUGGGCGUGCGGGCGAUACGGGCAGACUGGAGUACUGCAGGGGAGACUGGAAUUCCUGGUGUAGCGGUGGAAUGCGCAGAUAUCAGGAGGGAACACCCGGUGGCGAAGGCGGGUCUCUGGGGCAGUAACUGACGC
rnacentral:rRNA from 1 species